GAUUGGGUGAUUUGAAGUCCUGGUCCACCAUUUAUGACAGUAUAUGUAAACGUGCCCAGCAAAAUAUUUUACAUAGAGCAGAAUUUCAUAUCCAUGAAGGCUGGGACUACUUUGUGCACUGCUGUAUCAUCAACAUCCCAACAUCUAAAAUACUUCUGGGCACAUACUAGGUUCUCAAUAAAUAUUUGCUGAAUGAAUGAAUGAGCCAAUGAGGAAGAUAAGCUGCUAGAUUGAGAAAAAAACAAUGGCUGUGAUAUGGAAAUCAAGGAAGAAGUAUUUUAAGGAGGAAAGUGCUCAGUAGAUGUGCCAUGGAAAUGGCCAUGGAUCUGGCUGGAAACGAUACAACUGAUGUAAGCACAAAGCAGGUCACAGGGUAGAGCUGCACUGGUCAGUGUGGCAGCCACUAGCUGCAUGUGACUAUUAAGCACCUGAAAUGCUUGCUUAAAGGACUGGCUUAAAUAUAACAAAGUUCAACUGGGUAAUAUUGUAGCCAAGUAUGGCUGGGUAGCCCAGUUGGUUAGAGCAUGGUCCCAGUGCACCAAGCUUUCAGUUCGAUCCCCGGUCAGGUAUAUGCAAGAAUCAAGCAAUGAAUGCAUGAAUGUUUCUCUCUAAAAUCAAUGAAAAAAUAAAUUGUUUUAAAUAUUAAAAGCUGGGAAGUUGGUGGCAUGUUUGAAAAGAGCAAAAAAGGAGAGCAUUUGAAAUGGUAUUACAUAAAAACAUGUCUGUAAUAGGUAAGAGGCAAAGACAAUUAGAACAUAGGCAACAAAAGUUGCCUUUCAAGAGGAAGAAUACUAUAGAAUAAAUUAUUGGAUGUUUGAGAUAGAGAGAAAAGCCAGUCUUUCCUCGUUAGUGCCGAGAAGUUAGGCCAUAUAGUUUGGAGAAAUUGAAACAGCAUCUGAGGUUCUGCUAAGUUCCAAAUUCUAAAAAAUUUGGAAAAUUAAAAUCAAUAAGUUCAAACUG